rnacentral:rRNA from 1 species
UACGGGGGGGGCAAGCGUUGUUCGGAAUUACUGGGCGUAAAGGGCUCGUAGGCGGCCAACUAAGUCAGACGUGAAAUCCCUCGGCUUAACCGGGGAACUGCGUCUGAUACUGGAUGGCUUGAGGUUGGGAGAGGGAUGCGGAAUUCCAGGUGUAGCGGUGAAAUGCGUAGAUAUCUGGAGGAACACCGGUGGCGAAGGCGGCCACCUGGACGGUAACUGACGCUGAGACGCGAAAGCGUGGGGAGCAAAC